rnacentral:rRNA from 1 species
UACGUAGGGUGCAAGCGUUAAUCGGAAUUACUGGGCGUAAAGCGUGCGUAGACGGUUACAUAAGUCGGGUGUGAAAGCCCCGGGCUCAACCUGGGAAUUGCAUUCGAGACUGCGUAGCUAGGGUGCGGAAGAGGGAAGCGGAAUUUCCGGGUGUAGCGGUGAAAUGCGUAGAUAUCGGAAGGAACACCAGUGGCGAAAAGCGGCUUCCUGGUCCAGCACCGACGUCAGGCACGAAAGCGUGGGGAGCAAACAGG